UCUCCGCCUCUCUAGGCUCAGCUUCCAUCACCGCGUAGCGGAGCCCCGUGUCCGGGCCAGCAAAGACUGCAUGAGAGAGACAGAUAAUUCAGGCCAUCUGGACCCGAGGCCGAUGACCAGGACAGAUGCCACCUAGAUCAAAAGAGGAAGAUAUUUUUAGAGUUUUGAAUGUGGGCUCUGAAAACUUUUAUAUCUUAAGCCAAAUGAAGAUCAUGAUGGAUGGUUCAGACUUAACUGGGUCUUUAUCAGGGGAUGGAUUAAAAAGUAAGAAGUCCUAGAAACUAAUUUCUGAAAAUGAGGGGAGCCAGAAUUGCAACACUUCCAUCAAAUAUGCCGAGGCUUGGUCAGCCAGGGCAAUGGGGUCCAGGAUCAAAGAUAAUAUCUGGGCUCAGGCUGAAAAGCUGGUUUUCAUGGAGCUUGCCCAGCUUGCUCUGGGGCCUCAGCCACCCAGCCCCACGGUGGGCCUUGCCUCGUCUGUUAUGCGGUAUUUUCAUCUUUGGUCAGAUGACAGCCCCCAUGCUCCAAAAAUUCUCCUGCAGCCAGGGCUUGGAGAAUCCCGACCCCUCUCUGGCAUGAACCUCUCCUCAUCCAGGGUGGCUUGUGUGGUAGAGCCAGGGGAAUGGAGAAGAUGACCUCUGAAGCCUGAAGGCUCUUUGGGAAGCAGGACACAAACAUCCUGAAGAGCCGGCCUUGAGCUGGCUGCACAAGAGACUCAUAGACUCUGCGUCAACAUCCACCUCUCCAGGCUGCAGUGCGUGUACCUGUUCACCACCACCUCUAGCAGCACUGUCGCAGCGGAGCAGUUCUUACAGCCAAUGAGCUUCCACACCACCUCCCUGCAGUUCUCUGCAACCGAGGCUCCAUCCUGCACUGAUGGGCUGCCUGACACGUUGGCCUCAACAAGCAUUUCCAGCACAUUCUCAGCUUUCCUGCUCUGCUGGGCAAAACGCAGGGUGAGAAGGGGAGAGGAAGAACGGGACUGUGGCCCAGUUCUAGGCUUGGAGUCUAGCGAGGAACACCAGGUGCCUGCAUUAAAAGGUAAAGGACCGUGCAGGUGGUUUGAAUUUGUGUUUGGAUUUGGUCAGAGGCUCUGACCUCUCUGGGCCUCAGGACUUUUCCUUAACCUUUAGGCUGCCCUGUUCUUGGUAUCUCCUCACUCUUGUUCUUGGUAGCCUUCCCUACCCCCCAUAGCCACUUUUGUCCUAGAACGAAUUACCACUGCUAGGGACACACCACUAGUCCUGCCCUGGGGCCCUUGCCACAGCUCUUAUCCCACCUUCACCACCUGCACAGUCCCUUCUGUCCACCUGUGUGCACAGGUAUCUGCAGACUGCACCAUCUCUGUCCAAAGCCUGUGAGAAGACAGCCAUGGGAAUGUCUAGUGCUUUCCAGGGGGGGCUGGGAAGAAGUGGCAAUUGGUCACCUCCCUAUACCUGAAUCCACUGAGCAUCCUCUGAGUCCCCUGCUCUGUGUCUCCCCAUGGGGCACCUGACCCCCAUCCCCCCAGCCUGCUGGCCAGGCCCUGCUGCCCUCUCUGGGUGCUGCCCUGACUCAGCCCAUUCCAACUAAGUUCUUAAUAGUCCCAGCUUGAAGCUCAGUGGACGCCUGUCUUGGGCGUGUAGUUCUGGAAUUCUGUUCUCCUUCCAGGCCCGCCCCCCACCACACAAAUACACACACACACACACACACACACACACACACACACACGUGUUCCUCUUAGACCCCAACAUUUGGGCUGGCGCUUUGGAUGGCCUCAGCCACAUUUUCUCUUUUUUUCCUAUUUUAUUUUUUGAGAAACAGGUCUUGCUAUAUUGUCCAGGCUGGUCUCGAACUCCUGGGCUCAAGCAGCUCUCCUGCCUCAGCUCCAAGUUGCUGGGCUUACAGGUGUGAGCAAGUGCAACUGCUCAGCUGCAUUUCCUUGAUGUGCUUGUAGAAUACCUCCUGCUUCCCCAGCAUCCAGUUUGCUCCCUCCCUGCCUCUUCCAACUUACCCUCACUCCAUCUCAUCUACAGCUCUCCUUACCCCAGCCCUGGUCCUCUUCUCUGCUCCCAGCCCCCCGGGUCAGGAAUGUAUGUUAGUAUCAGAAACUGGCCAGAGCUCAUCCUCUUGUCCUCACUGUAGAGCUGCUCCCAGUGGAAUGGCUGAGUCCCAACCUCCGCCAUAGCUGCGGCUGGAUAGCCCAGGGUGUGAGCCCUGGGCUGGGGCCAGGAGGGGUAGAGGUCACCUUCAGCCUUCCGACAAUGACAUCUUGUUACAGGAAUGGCUUGAGGCUUCCAAAUUCACAUCCUCUGGUUUGCACAAACAGGCCAGGCAGCUGCACCUCUGAGCUGCCUCCAGUCCAUGGUUAAUUGCCAGAAAAUAAUUCGCCCUGAGGUCAUUGCCAUUUAAACAGCUGGCUUCUUCUUUUCCUGUUUGGCCGGUCGUUCUGGGCUCCCUGGCCCUCCCUCCACCUGCUUCUGUGAUCCUCUCACACACAGCCGGCUGGGAGCCUCAGGCUGGGCUCUUCUCCCUCCAGCUUAACUUGGCGACGUCUGGAUCCUCGUGUUGUGUUGAUGCGAGGCUGUUCUGGGAACAGGCUAGUCCCUCCACCUCGUCGCAACCUGCCUGGACACCGAGCCUCCACCAUCAGGCUAUCACUUGCAGGAAAUUUUGCAAACCCUGUGUCUCUCUAAUCAUACAGGAUGGUUGGAGAGACAAAAGAGGAAUGAAUGCUUCCACAAAGCUCCCUCUUUGUGGCAGAAUCAGUCCAAUGGAGAAAUUGUGAAAUUCCAGUUUUACAAAGUUCUUCAAACUUACCUCAAGGAUGGCACCAGCUGAAGCUCAGUUGCCCUGUCUCUUAUGCACCAGUGCAUCUGCCCCAGAAACUCUUAUCUGGGGCUCAGUUUGCCCCCAUGUGGUAUAAGUCCCUCCAAAGAUUCCAUUUCUAGUUACUCGUCUCAAUGUCACAAUGAGAAAUAUUUCUGCAUAUUUCCUGCAAAGCAUCUCAUUAAAGAAAGUAUUGGUUUGAUUUAGAAAAUGCUAUGCUGUUCCAGCUUCACUUUGGAUCUAUAGUUUUAGAAAGUAUCCAACUCUGCUUCUAGUUUAAGCUGUUCUGUUAAAGAGUUAAUGGAAAAAACCCCACUAUGGUAUGAGGAAGGGGGUGGGAAUUAACGUUUGGGUCCCAUUCUGUGCCUAAAACACUGGUUCCCUCUAUGUUUUGAGCCUGCAAUUGAAUCGUUCUUAUGGAAGGCAGAUGCUAGAGGAGCUUUCUUUGGGAUUCUCAUUACCCGUUUCCAUCAGACCAGGCCAUUAGAUGGUUGCUUCUAGAAGGAUGGUGCAGCCCUGAGUCUGCAGGGGGCAGACCGGUCACAAAAGCCAGAGUGGAGCUGGGGGUCGGACUGGAGUUCAUUGGGCAGGUUCAGUUCACACCCCAGUUCACACGGUCCACGAAGGCAGAACAAGGCACAGGUGAGAGCCAGGAGGGCAAGCAGGGAUCCAAGUGCACACAGUCCAGGGAGCAAGACAAGCAGAGAGGCCUGGAGCCAGAAGGAGGCUCGGAAACAAGGAUGCCAGCAGUGAGCUCACAGGUCAGAAGCUUCUGGCCCAAGGCUUUACGGAGGCCAUGCCUGAGCUGAAUAUUGGUGGCUGAGCAGCCAAUAAAUGGAACACAGAUGGGGCCAGGGCAGGGAAUUCCAGGCAGGAGGAACAGCCAGAGAGCAAAGGCAGGGAGGCUGGAGGCUUUGCUGUGUGAGGAUCUGUGUACACACAGGGAAUGCUUCACAGGCUGUAGAGACAGUGACUAGCUUCUGAGAUCAGAGUAGGCUGGGCUGAGUAAAGGGAAGGGUGGAGGGGGCAGAGACCCACAUUACAGCCCAUGGCCCUGAACCCAGGACAAGCCACGGGGGUGGAGGAGCAGGCAGGAGAUGCUCCACCACUGCUGGCAAGGAGCAGGGCAGCCUGCCCAAGGGGGUACUGCCUGGAGCAUCACUGACUUACCCCAUCUGCUGGCAAGGAUACAGAAGCUCAGCCCACAGGGCCACCAUGGAUGGCCCUAAAGGUUGUGUCCUAUGCAAGGGGACCACAGAAGGCUGGUGCCCUGGACAGUUGGCAAGAGGCUGAGCGCAGGGCAGUGAGGGAUGCUCGUGUGCCUG